rnacentral:snRNA from 1 species
GUGCUCCCUUUGGCACCACAUAUACUAGACUGGAACAACACAGAGAUGAUUGCCAUGGCCCCUACACAAGGAUAACAUGCAAAUUUGUGAGUGGUUCCAUAUUUUU